GACUCCGGUGGUGGCACUCCUGGUUUUUCCGGGACGGGGUUCAAUUCCCUGCGGUGUC
rnacentral:snRNA from 1 species